UCACCAGUUUGGUAAUCCAACCUACCCUCUCUAGUACAUUGUUCAAGACUAUUUUCUAAUAAUUUUCUACUUUGUAGACAUUGCCUCUCGUCCUGACUCAAGUGCCAACACUGAUGUCCUCGCACUUCCUUCUCUGGACUCCUGGGAUGUGCCUCGGUGUACCGACUUGCUGCUUCUCUGGUUGCCCUCCUGUUGCAUGGUGCUGGAUCACUCUUGGAUGUUCUCUCGCUCACCUGCCCGUCCGCCCUCCAACGCUCUCUGCCUGACACAAGACACCAGCCAGUGCCAAACCUCGAACCGUCACCCUACGAUGACUACACACUUCUCCUCAGAUGAUUCCGUUACCUCCUCCAGCUCGUUUUGUUCACGCCUUCAACAUGCUUACCCCAGAGGCUCGUGUGGGACCCACCUUGAAACUCUACUUGUUUGCCUGUUUAAUAAACCUAAUUCAACGAUCCA